CGUGCUUACACAUGCAAGUCGAACGAUGAAGCCCUUCGGGGUGGAUUAGUGGCGAACGGGUGAGUAACACGUGGGCAAUCUGCCCUUCACUCUGGGACAAGCCCUGGAAACGGGGUCUAAUACCGGAUAACACUCCUACAGGCAUCUGUGGGGGUUGAAAGCUCCGGCGGUGAAGGAUGAGCCCGCGGCCUAUCAGCUUGUUGGUGAGGUAGAAGCUCACCAAGGCGACGACGGGUAGCCGGCCUGAGAGGGCGACCGGCCACACUGGGACUGAAACACGGCCCAGACUCCUACGGGAGGCAGCAGUGGGGAAUAUUGCACAAUGGGCGAAAGCCUGAUGCAGCGACGCCGCGUGAGGGAUGACGGCCUUCGGGUUGUAAACCUCUUUCAGCAGGGAAGAAGCGAAAGUGACGGUACCUGCAGAAGAAGCGCCGGCUAACUACGUGCCAGCAGCCGCGGUAAUACGUAGGGCGCAAGCGUUGUCCGGAAUUAUUGGGCGUAAAGAGCUCGUAGGCGGUCUGUCGCGUCGGAUGUGAAAGCCCGGGGCUUAACCCCGGGUCUGCAUUCGAUACGGGCAGACUAGAGUGUGGUAGGGGAGAUCGGAAUUCCUGGUGUAGCGGUGAAAUGCGCAGAUAUCAGGAGGAACACCGGUGGCGAAGGCGGAUCUCUGGGCCAUUACUGACGCUGAGGAGCGAAAGCGUGGGGAGCGAACAGGAUUAG
rnacentral:rRNA from 1 species